GCUGAUAUGAAUCAGAUAAAAAGAUAAUAUCUCCAGUUAAUAUGGUGUAAUUAUAGAAAAUGAUUCCUUUCUCUCUCUGUAAUCUCUCAACAGUUGAAUCAGUUAUUCUUUUCUCUCUCAUAACUGUUUCUACACUUUGAAAGAUAACAACGUAAUAUUUCACAUGGAAGGAAACAAUCAUAUAGUGUGAGAAAAGAAGAGGAGAGAAAAAAAAUUCUACAGAGACUCAAAGAACCAAAUCUGACGAAAUGUUUUCAUUGAAAACUUUUCCACGUUUGAGAUAAUCUAAUGAUUCCUGAAAUUGUCACUAUAUUUAAUUCACUUGCCUUAGGGCGUGUUAAAAGCUACUCCAAUGGAAAGAAACAAAAUUAGUCUGAUUUUUCAAUCUAAGUUUCUUAAUCUGAUCUUAGUUGAUUACGAUUAUACUUCUAGGCUCAUGAGAUUAAAGUUUAAUGAAGGGAUGACAAUGUUCCAGUGAGACUUGGAGUUAUAUGUAAUUUACUGACUGAUUUUGAUGAUUAAUCUUAAAAUUGCCUUUGGUAUUGGCUUUAUUAUCACCAGUUUUGUUCACAGGCUUCUGAAACGUGUGUGUGACAAAAAUAACAUUAACGAUCAAUUGAUGGAUUAGUUAUUUCGACACAUAUAAAAAAAGAUUCACUUUAGGACGACAAGGAGAGGAUUUUAAAUGGAUAUUGUUGUUGGUGAUUGUAAAUGAUUAGAUUGAUAACUUACCAGAUACCAUUGGAAAGGAAAAUAGGGAUCACUUGGUUCUUGAUUAAGUGAUAAAUGUUCAGGACCAAGGAUUAGUUGGCGAUAACCACGUUUAACUCGUUUAAAUCCUGAUUGUUGAACUGCUAAUUCUACCUGUUAAUCACAAAAUGAUAAAUGAAGAUGAACUUAAUUCCCAUCUUAUUAUAACUGAUGAAUCGCUUCACUCAUAUCGAUUAAGAUAAUUUUCUCAUCAUCUAAUGAGUUUUCAUCAUCUUUCCUGUUUUGGUUUUUAUUUCUCAACUGUAUUGAAGUUUUGUAUCAAUCACACGAAAAAAGAAACUGUCAUCAUUGAGGUUAUCCCUGAUGAUUUAGUUACUUAAUCGAAUCCCUCCCUUCCUUUUUGCUUAUGAUUUAAAUAGAAUCCAGAAUUAGGUCAAUUCGUCUUACCUGUGGAUCGUUUUUAAGCUUCCUGGUAUGAGAUAUACUUCGUUUCGUUCUGGUGUGAGGUAAUGCCCGGUGGAUAAAAUGAAACUCAUGGGGAGAACUGAGAAGCUGUUUAAUUGUCCAGGAUUCGAGGAGAAACAAAAGAGAACAAUUUAAAUUAUGAUUUUCAUUCAAUAGCAUAUAAAAUUUAUGAGAAAAACAAAAUAACGAUUCGAAUCAAUUUUCCAUGUGUCAAUAUCUUUCCUGUCUAAUGAUGAUCCAUAUGGAAACAAUUAACCUCGAAGAAACUGAUCAUCAAGUGGAGAAACCAGUUGAUUAUAAUCAUUCAAGUGAAAAUCAAUUGAUUUAUCAACACAACCAGAAUGAUGGAGUCUCUCAAUUUUGUUUAACCAUGAUAACAAUAAGCAAGGAGACUAUGGGAUAAAAUUUACGGUUAAAUUGAAAUUGGGUCAUGAUAAUGUUUCCCUUUUCUGGUUUCAGAUGAAAAGAGAAAGAAAAAAGAUUGAGAAAUUGAAAAGAACAAAAUUGUGAUUGAAAAAAAAAGAAACUCUGGAAAUGUAUCAGGUUUCUUGGAUUAUAUUGGAAUCGUCAUGAUAACUAUCACACCUUUUGGACAUGAUUAGCAUUCAUCAUGAUUUGAUAAUGGAUGAUAACAGUUGGAAUUGUCAGAUUGUGUUAAAACGUGACGAUGAAAAUUAGAUGAUGAUGAAGAUUCUAAGUUCCAUUCAACUGUCAAUUAACUUAAUUUUGACGCAAAUUGAGUUUACUUAUCAUUUGUAUUUUAUCAUACAAACAUGAAAAUGAAUGAAAUCACAAAAAUAAUCACAAUCCAUUUGGUAUCAAUGAAUUCAACUAAUCAAUUUACUCCAUGUGACUACAUUUAAAACUGUCACUAAAGUUAUCAAGUUUUUAAUGAACAAAUUUCAUUGUGAUCACAAAGAUAAUCUCGAUUUUCAUGGUCAUCAUCAUCAUCAUCAUGGUUUGGAAUUGGAAAAAAAAACUUUAUUUCGCCCAAUCUAGUUUGUGAAAAUCUAAAUUGUUCUACAAUUUUUCAUUGUCCAGUUUGGAAACCUCAAGACAAUGGUCAUUAUUUUGGCAUCGAUCCAGUUAUUUCUCAACUAUUGUUAUCAUUACUUUGAAACUCUCAUUGUCCACCUCAGUUUCUCUCUCUCUCUCUCUCGCUGUUCUGAUGACCAUGAUGAUCUAAUGAAACAAUAACAAGCAGUCGGAACACAAUUUAGUAACCGUAUAAGUUGAUAACUUAUAUAUUAAUAACAACAAUCAAGGAUUUUCAAUUGAUAAUAAUAAUGAUCAUGAACAAUUGAAAUGGUUUAUAUAGUUUUUUUUUAUCACCUUUGUGAUAUUUUGUUAUUUCAACAACUUGAAAUAACAAUUCAUUGAUUGUUGAUACUUUGAAAAUAAUUCAUCUUGAUAAUCAAUUUAGUCAAUUGUUUGUCUUUCAUGAUUGUGAUUGAUUUUGUUCACAUUUAUUAUUUGGCUACAGUUCAAACAAUUAACAUUUCCUUAUAAUAUUUUGUCAAAGUGUUUCUCCUACUUGUUAAUCAAAGGGAAACAAUUUAAUUCAAUUGUUGGCUCUUAAUUGGUCACAAAUCACAUUUCAUCUUAAUGAAAAAUUAACAAUCAAUGAGAUGGUAAAGUUAUGAUAAAGAUGAAAAUAGUAAUUAAAUUUACGAAAGACAAUUAACUAAACAUGAAACAUACGUUACAAUUUAGUUCAACAAUCAACUAAUCAUAACACAAAGAGGAAGCAAAAAGAGACUAAAUUAAAUCAAUAAAUUGGAAGCAAAUUAAAUUAUCUAAUUUUUUUUGAAAAAUCUUGAGACAAUUUGAUUUGAUCUGAUUAUUGAUUAUCUCUUAUUGUAAUUUGAUUAUCUAUUGGUUGAUUUUAUUAAUGAAAAAAAAACUCCCUGUUAAUUGUUGACAAUAAUCAAGUUUUGUAAAUGAAUUGAACUAAAUUUAGUUUAUGAUAAACAAAAUGCUGAUUCUAAUUAUUGAUUAUAUAUUAGGAUUAAUAAUUAAUUGUUGAUCUCUAAAUUAAUAAUAACCAUUAAUGUAUAUGAUUAAUGUUAUCAUUUUAAUCAUGUUACGUCAUCGUAAUGAUAAACUUUAUAAUUAAAGAGCAAGUUGAUUACCUGUAAUAUAAAAUUAACUUAAUGGUGUUAAAAUCAACCGAUUGAUAUAAUAGUUUAAUCACAAUUAACAAAAAAAAAUAUCAAGCUGAUCUUUUGAUAUUUAAUUAGUAACAACCAGAAUAUUGGUAAUCUAAUGACUAUAAUCAAUUAAUUAUCCAAUUGAGAUGAUUGAUUAUAAGGUGAUAUUGAUUAGUAACUAAUCAGAAUUAAAAUGUUUCUCCAACCAAUCAAAUUGGUCCUUAAUUAUUGUUACAAUAAUUUAAAUCAACAGGAAAGAUAAAUAAACAAGAAAAUUAAUU